rnacentral:misc_RNA from 1 species
AUAUAUUUAAUUAACAUUUAAAUGUAUUAUAGUUUAUAUUUUUUUUUAUGAGUAUAAAAGUUUUAAACAUGUAACUUUUUUUAUAUGGUUGAAUUUAAAUGUUCAUUUGGAUUUUAUUAAUAAUUGAAAAUCUUAUAUAUAUACACGUUUUUCCACUUUAUCGUUUUCUAUAUUUUUUAAAAUGUCAUUUCCCUGUGUCAGUUUCUGCUUGUUUCCCUGUGUCGUUUCCCUGUGUCAGGCUUAUCUUUCACAUUUUUGUUUUCUAAGCCAAGUUUGUUUCUGCUUGUAUGGUACUAAUUCACAAUUCGUUGGUGAGUGAAGUCAUAAUCAACCAAGAGGAUCUUGUA